AAGAAGCUUGCUUCUUUGCUGACGAGCGGCGGACGGGUGAGUAAUGCCUAGGAAUCUGCCUAGUAGUGGGGGAUAACUUGCCGAAAGGUAAGCUAAUACCGCAUACGCCCUACGGGGGAAAGCAGGGGACUCUUCGGAGCCUUGCGCUAUUAGAUGAGCCUAGGUCGGAUUAGCUAGUUGGUGAGGUAAUGGCUCACCAAGGCUGCGAUCCGUAACUGGUCUGAGAGGAUGAUCAGUCACACUGGAACUGAGACACGGUCCAGACUCCUACGGGAGGCAGCAGUGGGGAAUAUUGGACAAUGGGGGCAACCCUGAUCCAGCCAUGCCGCGUGUGUGAAGAAGGUCUUCGGAUUGUAAAGCACUUUAAUUUGGGAGGAAGGGCUUACACCUAAUACGUGUGAGUUUUGACGUUACCAAAAGAAUAAGCACCGGCUAACUUCGUGCCAGCAGCCGCGGUAAUACGAAGGGUGCGAGCGUUAAUCGGAAUUACUGGGCGUAAAGCGCGCGUAGGUGGUUCGUUAAGUUAGGAGUGAAAGCCCCGGGCUCAACCUGGGAAUUGCUUCUAAAACUGGCGGGCUAGAGUACGGUAGAGGGUGGUGGAAUUUCCUGUGUAGCGGUGAAAUGCGUAGAUAUAGGAAGGAACAUCAGUGGCGAAGGCGACCACC
rnacentral:rRNA from 1 species